CGACAAGGAGAGCACGAGGAGGCUCCACCCACCACUACGCCUCCCGCUUCACUCACAUGCGCAGCACUCGCAGAAACCGCCCCACUCGAGAGCGGGCGACUGCGCAAAAGACGAGAGGUGGGCAAAAAGACUGCGACUGUGGGUGCCGAGGUGGGAGUCAUGUCACCAGCCACAGGCUUAAUCGCCCGCUCCAUUGUCUUGAGCAUUUGACUCUAUCUCUCACGCGUUGCUUCCUUUGUUCG